rnacentral:rRNA from 1 species
UACGGAAGGGGCAAGCGUUGUUCGGAAUCAUUGGGCGUAAAGGGCGCGUAGGUGGUUCUGUAUGUCUAUCGUGAAAGCGUACGGCUCAACCGUAUUUUGUCGGUAGAAACUGCAGGACUUGAGGCUGGGAGGGGCUGGUGGAAUUCCCUGUGUAGCGGUGAAAUGCGUAGAGAUGGGGGAGAACACUCGUGGCGAAGGCGGCCAGCUAGACCAGUUCUGACACUGAGGCGCGACAGCGUGGGGAGCAAACAGG